GUGCCAGCAGCCGCGGUAAUACGUAGGGUGCAAGCGUUAAUCGGAAUUACUGGGCGUAAAGCGUGCGCAGGCGGUUUUGUAAGUCUGAUGUGAAAUCCCCGGGCUCAACCUGGGAAUUGCAUUGGAGACUGCAAGGCUAGAAUCUGGCAGAGGGGGGUAGAAUUCCACGUGUAGCAGUGAAAUGCGUAGAGAUGUGGAGGAACACCGAUGGCGAAGGCAGCCCCCUGGGUCAAGAUUGACGCUCAUGCACGAAAGCGUGGGGAGCAAACAGGAUUAGAAACCCGAGUAGUCC
rnacentral:rRNA from 1 species